GAUGAACGCUGGCGGCGUGCCUAAUACAUGCAAGUCGAGCGAACAGACGAGGAGCUUGCUCCUCUGACGUUAGCGGCGGACGGGUGAGUAACACGUGGAUAACCUACCUAUAAGACUGGGAUAACUUCGGGAAACCGGAGCUAAUACCGGAUAAUAUAUUGAACCGCAUGGUUCAAUAGUGAAAGACGGUUUUGCUGUCACUUAUAGAUGGAUCCGCGCCGCAUUAGCUAGUUGGUAAGGUAACGGCUUACCAAGGCGACGAUGCGUAGCCGACCUGAGAGGGUGAUCGGCCACACUGGAACUGAGACACGGUCCAGACUCCUACGGGAGGCAGCAGUAGGGAAUCUUCCGCAGUGGGCGAAAGCCUGACGGAGCAACGCCGCGUGAGUGAUGAAGGUCUUCGGAUCGUAAAACUCUGUUAUUAGGGAAGAACAAAUGUGUAAUUAACUAUGCACGUCUUGACGGUACCUAAUCAGAAAGCCACGGCUAACUACGUG
rnacentral:rRNA from 1 species